AGAGUUUGAUCCUGGUUCAGAACAAACGCUGGCGGCGUGCCUAACACAUGCAAGUCGUACGAGAAAGUCCGCUUCGGUGGAUGAGUAAAGUGGCGCACGGGUGAGUAACGCGUGGAUAAUCUACCCUUUAGUCUGGAAUAACUUAUCGAAAGGUGAACUAAUACCGGAUAAUAUCCCGAUUUCUUCGGCGAUCGGGAUCAAAGAAGGCCUCUGCUUGCAAGCUUUCACUGAAGGAUGAGUCCGCGUACCAUUAGCUAGUUGGCAGGGUAAUGGCCUACCAAGGUUAUGAUGGUUAGCUGGUCUGAGAGGAUGAUCAGCCACACUGGAACUGAAACACGGUCCAGACUCCUACGGGAGGCAGCAGUGAGGAAUAUUGCGCAAUGGGGGCAACCCUGACGCAGCAACGCCGCGUGAGUGAGGAAGGUUUUCGGAUUGUAAAGCUCUGUCGAGCGGAAAGAAGUGCAUGGUGGUUAAUAUCCAUCAUGCUUGACGGUACCGCUAAAGGAAGCACCGGCUAACUCCGUGCCAGCAGCCGCGGUAAUACGGGGGGUGCAAGCGUUGUUCGGAAUCAUUGGGCGUAAAGCGCGUGUAGGCGGCUGGACAAGUCAGAU
rnacentral:rRNA from 1 species